ensembl:lncRNA
GGGGGAUUUGGGGACAUUUGGGUGCCACUGGGUGAUGGUGGGCGCCCUUGGGUGCCACUGGGUGCCACUGAGAUACCACUGGGUGCCCUUAGGUGCCAUUGGGUGCCCUUGGGUGCCAUUGGGUGCCACUGGGUGCCUCUGAGUGCCCUUGGGUGCCCUUGGGUGCUACUGGGUGACACUAGGUGACAUUGGGUGCCAUUGGGUGCCACUGGGUGCCAUUGGGUGACACUGGGUGCCCUUGGGUGCCAUUGGGUGCCACUGGGUGCCUCUGAGUGCCCUUGGGUGCCCUUGGGUGCUACUGGGUGCCACUGGGUGCCACUGGGUGCCAUUGGAUGACACUGGAUGCCCUUGGGUGACACUGGGUGACACUGAGAUACCACUGGGUGCCAUUGGGUGCCAUUGGGUGCUAUUGGGUGCCACUGGGUGCCCUUGGGUGCCACUGGGUGCCAUUGGGUGCCAUUGGGUGCCAUUGGGUGCCCUUGGGUGCCCUUGGGUGCCACUGGGUGCCAUUGUCUGCCAUUGGGUGACACUAGGUGCCCUCAGGUGCCAUUGGGUGCCACUGGGUGCCCUUGGGUGCCAUUGGGUGCCAUUGGGUGCCAUUGUGCGACACUGGGUGCCACUGGGUGCCACUGAGAUACCACUGGGUGCCACUGGGUGCCCUUGGGUGCCAUUGGGUGCCAUUGUGCGACACUGGGUGCCACUGAGAUACCACUGGGUGCCACUGGGAGCCAUUGGGUGCCACUGGGUGCCAUCAGGUGCCACUGGGUGCCACUGGGUACCAUUGGGUGCCACUGGGUGCCCUUGAGGUGCCCUUGGGUGCCAUUGGGUGCUAUUGGGUGUCACUGGGAGCCAUUGGAUGCCACUGGGUGCCCUUGGGUGCUAUUGGGUGCCACUGGGUGCCACUGGGUGCCAUUGUCUGCCAUUGUCUGCCAUUGGGUGCCCUUGGGCACCCUUGGGUGCUAUUGGGUGCCACUGAGAUACCACUGGGUGCCACUGGGAGCCAUUGGGUGCCACUGGGUGCCCUUGGGUGCCACUGGGUGCCACUGGGUGCCCUUGGGCGCCCUUGGGUGCCGUUGAGCACCCUUGGGUGACGCGUUGUCCCCGUGCCGGGCAGGCUUUGCCCGCUCGUUUGGCCAGGUGCUGCCGGGGGGGCAGCGGCGCGAGUGGGUGAAGCCGAUCAUGUUCAGCGGCGGCGUCGGCGCCAUCGAGGAGCGGCACGUGCACAAGGAGACCCCGCAGCCCGGUACCGCGCCCCAUAGCGACCCAUAGCGACCCAUAGCGACCCAUAGCCACCCAUAGCCACCCAUAGUGACCCAUAGAGACCCAUAGCCACCCAUAGCGAGACCCACAGCGACCCAUAGCGACCCAUAGCGACCCGUAGCGACCCAUAGCCACCCAUAGCGACCCAUAGCGACCCAUAGCCACCCAUAGUGACCCAUAGAGACCCAUAGCGACCCAUAGCGACCCAUAGCGCAACCCAUAGUGAUCCAUAGAGACCCAUAGCGACCCAUAGUGACCCAUAGCACGACCCAUAGUGACCCAUAGAGACCCAUAGUGACCCAUAGUGACCCAUAGCACGACCCAUAGCGACCCACUGCGACCCAUAGCGAAACAUAGCGACCCAUAGUGACCCAUAGCGAGACCCAUAGUGACUCAUAGAGACCCAUAGCGACCCAUAGUGACCCAUAGUGACCCAUAGCCACCCAUAGCGACCCAUAGCGAGACCCAUAGCGAGACCCAUAGUGACCCAUAGCCACCCAUAGCCACCCAUAGCCACCCAUAGCCACCCAUAGCGACCCAUAGCG